CAGCAGCCGCGGGAAUACGGAGGAUCCAAGCGUUAUCCGGAAUCAUUGGGUUUAAAGGGUCCGUAGGCGGUCUUGUAAGUCAGUGGUGAAAGCCCAUCGCUCAACGGUGGAACGGCCAUUGAUACUGCAGGACUUGAAUUAUUGGGAAGUAACUAGAAUAUGUAGUGUAGCGGUGAAAUGCUUAGAGAUUACAUGGAAUACCAAUUGCGAAGGCAGGUUACUACCAAUUGAUUGACGCUGAUGGACGAAAGCGUGGGUAGCGAACAGGAUUAGAGACCCGAGUAGUCCCUGUCUCUUAUAC
rnacentral:rRNA from 1 species